rnacentral:rRNA from 1 species
UACAGACACUUCUACGCCUGAUGGACGUGGACCUGUCUUUCUGGGAUACUUCGAAAUGACAAGGGACCCUAACCGAAACCCGGAAAGGACGCGUCGAAUCCACCUUCCGCUUCUUCCGGGGGAAGGCCCCCCCGGGCUCGGUAGUCACUCUAUGGUGAGACCUUCUCGAGCCUAAGAUUGGAACACAGUCUGGGCGCCCGGUUCCCUGUCAGAGUCCAUCUGUCAAAGAUACCCCGCAUCCGGAGGGUUUUCCAUUGCCUCCGCACGUUUCCAAAGGAGCCCGGUCUGCCUGUAACCAGGAGCUCACGUUUCCGUCUUCCCUCGAACUGACGUUCUGAGUGGGCAGCUCGUCUCUGCUUUCAGCCGGAAUCACUAGGCUGCCACGGCUCACCUUCCCGGCAGCGAGUUGCCUAUUUUCAAUGAGAUCCCUAUUGUCCGACUAGAAGGGGUUCUCAGGUGUAGCUGCCCUUCCAAACCGUGGAGCUACAGCCGAGAAGCGGUGGACCUCGACAUCCACCAAGGUUCCCAACCCGACAAGCGGGUAAUUACGCCAUGCACUCGACCCAAGUCUUGCAGCACUCUGUCAAGCCAGGUAUAGGCCACACCCGCAAUCUCGUAACUCUCCUGGAAAGGACGCGUCGAAUCCACCUUCCGCUUCUUCCGGGGGAAGGCCCCCCCGGGCUCGGUAGUCACUCUAUGGUGAGACCUUCUCGAGCCUAAGAUUGGAACACAGUCUGGGCGCCCGGUUCCCUGUCAGAGUCCAUCUGUCAAAGAUACCCCGCAUCCGGAGGGUUUUCCAUUGCCUCCGCACGUUUCCAAAGGAGCCCGGUCUGCCUGUAACCAGGAGCUCACGUUUCCGUCUUCCCUCGAACUGACGUUCUGAGUGGGCAGCUCGUCUCUGCUGUCAGCCGGAAUCACUAGGCUGCCACGGCUCACCUUCCCGGCAGCGAGUUGCCUAUUUUCAAUGAGAUCCCUAUUGUCCGACUAGAAGGGGUUCUCAGGUGUAGCUGCCCUUCCAAACCGUGGAGCUACAGCCGAGAAGCGGUGGACCUCGACAUCCACCAAGGUUCCCAACCCGACAAGCGGGUAAUUACGCCAUGCACUCGACCCAAGUCUUGCAGCACUCUGUCAAGCCAGGUAUAGGCCACACCCGCAAUCUCGUAACUCUCCUGGAAAGGGAUCAUGCUCUCCUGGCCCUUCCUGCGUGGAGACCACAUGGUCAAUAGCACGGAUGCCAUUUGCGACCCAUCGGUUCACGCCUCUCCUAUUGACGACUUUCGUAUAU